UUAAGCGACUAAGCGUACACGGUGGAUGCCCUGGCAGUCAGAGGCGAUGAAGGACGUGCUAAUCUGCGAUAAGCGUCGGUAAGGUGAUAUGAACCGUUAUAACCGGCGAUUUCCGAAUGGGGAAACCCAGUGUGAUUCGUCACACUAUCAUUAACUGAAUCCAUAGGUUAAUGAGGCGAACCGGGGGAACUGAAACAUCUAAGUACCCCGAGGAAAAGAAAUCAACCGAGAUUCCCCCAGUAGCGGCGAGCGAACGGGGAGCAGCCCAGAGCCUGAAUCAGUGUGUGUGUUAGUGGAAGCGUCUGGAAAGGCGUGCGAUACAGGGUGACAGCCCCGUACACAAAAAUGCACAUAUUGUGAGCUCGAUGAGUAGGGCGGGACACGUGGUAUCCUGUCUGAAUAUGGGGGGACCAUCCUCCAAGGCUAAAUACUCCUGACUGACCGAUAGUGAACCAGUACCGUGAGGGAAAGGCGAAAAGAACCCCGGCGAGGGGAGUGAAAAAGAACCUGAAACCGUGUACGUACAAGCAGUGGGAGCACGCUUAGGCGUGUGACUGCGUACCUUUUGUAUAAUGGGUCAGCGACUUAUAUUCUGUAGCAAGGUUAACCGAAUAGGGGAGCCGAAGGGAAACCGAGUCUUAACUGGGCGUUAAGUUGCAGGGUAUAGACCCGAAACCCGGUGAUCUAGCCAUGGGCAGGUUGAAGGUUGGGUAACACUAACUGGAGGACCGAACCGACUAAUGUUGAAAAAUUAGCGGAUGACUUGUGGCUGGGGGUGAAAGGCCAAUCAAACCGGGAGAUAGCUGGUUCUCCCCGAAAGCUAUUUAGGUAGCGCCUCGUGAAUUCAUCUCCGGGGGUAGAGCACUGUUUCGGCAAGGGGGUCAUCCCGACUUACCAACCCGAUGCAAACUGCGAAUACCGGAGAAUGUUAUCACGGGAGACACACGGCGGGUGCUAACGUCCGUCGUGAAGAGGGAAACAACCCAGACCGCCAGCUAAGGUCCCAAAGUCAUGGUUAAGUGGGAAACGAUGUGGGAAGGCCCAGACAGCCAGGAUGUUGGCUUAGAAGCAGCCAUCAUUUAAAGAAAGCGUAAUAGCUCACUGGUCGAGUCGGCCUGCGCGGAAGAUGUAACGGGGCUAAACCAUGCACCGAAGCUGCGGCAGCGACACUAUGUGUUGUUGGGUAGGGGAGCGUUCUGUAAGCCUGUGAAGGUGUACUGUGAGGUAUGCUGGAGGUAUCAGAAGUGCGAAUGCUGACAUAAGUAACGAUAAAGCGGGUGAAAAGCCCGCUCGCCGGAAGACCAAGGGUUCCUGUCCAACGUUAAUCGGGGCAGGGUGAGUCGACCCCUAAGGCGAGGCCGAAAGGCGUAGUCGAUGGGAAACAGGUUAAUAUUCCUGUACUUGGUGUUACUGCGAAGGGGGACGGAGAAGGCUAUGUUGGCCGGGCGACGGUUGUCCCGGUUUAAGCAUGUAGGCUGGUUUUCCAGGCAAAUCCGGAAAAUCAAGGCUGAGGCGUGAUGACGAGGCACUACGGUGCUGAAGCAACAAAUGCCCUGCUUCCAGGAAAAGCCUCUAAGCAUCAGGUAACAUCAAAUCGUACCCCAAACCGACACAGGUGGUCAGGUAGAGAAUACCAAGGCGCUUGAGAGAACUCGGGUGAAGGAACUAGGCAAAAUGGUGCCGUAACUUCGGGAGAAGGCACGCUGAUAUGUAGGUGAAGCGACUUGCUCGUGGAGCUGAAAUCAGUCGAAGAUACCAGCUGGCUGCAACUGUUUAUUAAAAACACAGCACUGUGCAAACACGAAAGUGGACGUAUACGGUGUGACGCCUGCCCGGUGCCGGAAGGUUAAUUGAUGGGGUCAGCGCAAGCGAAGCUCUUGAUCGAAGCCCCGGUAAACGGCGGCCGUAACUAUAACGGUCCUAAGGUAGCGAAAUUCCUUGUCGGGUAAGUUCCGACCUGCACGAAUGGCGUAAUGAUGGCCAGGCUGUCUCCACCCGAGACUCAGUGAAAUUGAACUCGCUGUGAAGAUGCAGUGUACCCGCGGCAAGACGGAAAGACCCCGUGAACCUUUACUAUAGCUUGACACUGAACAUUGAGCCUUGAUGUGUAGGAUAGGUGGGAGGCUUUGAAGUGUGGACGCCAGUCUGCAUGGAGCCGACCUUGAAAUACCACCCUUUAAUGUUUGAUGUUCUAACGUGGACCCGUGAUCCGGGUUGCGGACAGUGUCUGGUGGGUAGUUUGACUGGGGCGGUCUCCUCCUAAAGAGUAACGGAGGAGCACGAAGGUUGGCUAAUCCUGGUCGGACAUCAGGAGGUUAGUGCAAUGGCAUAAGCCAGCUUGACUGCGAGCGUGACGGCGCGAGCAGGUGCGAAAGCAGGUCAUAGUGAUCCGGUGGUUCUGAAUGGAAGGGCCAUCGCUCAACGGAUAAAAGGUACUCCGGGGAUAACAGGCUGAUACCGCCCAAGAGUUCAUAUCGACGGCGGUGUUUGGCACCUCGAUGUCGGCUCAUCACAUCCUGGGGCUGAAGUAGGUCCCAAGGGUAUGGCUGUUCGCCAUUUAAAGUGGUACGCGAGCUGGGUUUAGAACGUCGUGAGACAGUUCGGUCCCUAUCUGCCGUGGGCGCUGGAGAACUGAGGGGGGCUGCUCCUAGUACGAGAGGACCGGAGUGGACGCAUCACUGGUGUUCGGGUUGUCAUGCCAAUGGCACUGCCCGGUAGCUAAAUGCGGAAGAGAUAAGUGCUGAAAGCAUCUAAGCACGAAACUUGCCCCGAGAUGAGUUCUCCCUGACCCUUUAAGGGUCCUGAAGGAACGUUGAAGACGACGACGUUGAUAGGCCGGGUGUGUAAGCGCAGCGAUGCGUUGAGCUAACCGGUACUAAUGAACCGUGAGGCUUAACCUU
rnacentral:rRNA from 1 species